GGGCCUGUGGCGCAGCGGGAGCGCGCCUCAAUCGCACUGAGGAGGUCGCGGGUUCGAAUCCCGCCAGGUCCA
rnacentral:tRNA from 1 species